AGUGAACGCUGGCGGUAGGCCUAACACGUGCAAGUCGAACGGCAGCACAGUAAGAGCUUGCUCUUACGGGUGGCGAGUGGCGGACGGGUGAGGAAUACAUCGGAAUCUACUUUUUCGUGGGGGAUAACGUAGGGAAACUUACGCUAAUACCGCAUACGACCUACGGGUGAAAGCAGGGGAUCUUCGGACCUUGCGCGAUUGAAUGAGCCGAUGUCGGAUUAGCUAGUUGGCGGGGUAAAGGCCCACCAAGGCGACGAUCCGUAGCUGGUCUGAGAGGAUGAUCAGCCACACUGGAACUGAGACACGGUCCAGACUCCUACGGGAGGCAGCAGUGGGGAAUAUUGGACAGUGGGCGCAAGCCUGAUCCAGCCAUACCGCGUGGGUGAAGAAGGCCUUCGGGUUGUAAAGCCCUUUUGUUGGGAAAGAAAAGCAGCAGGUUAAUACCCCGCUGUUCUGACGGUACCCAAAGAAUAAGCACCGGCUAACUUCGC
rnacentral:rRNA from 1 species